GACGAACGCUGGCGGCGUGCCUAAUACAUGCAAGUCGAACGCUUCUUUCCUCCCGAGUUCUUGCACUCAAUUGGAAAGAGGAGUGGCGGACGGGUGAGUAACACGUGGGUAACCUACCCAUCAGAGGGGGAUAACACUUGGAAACAGGUGCUAAUACCGCAUAACAGUUUAUGCCGCAUGGCAUAAGAGUGAAAGGCGCUUUCGGGUGUCGCUGAUGGAUGGACCCGCGGUGCAUUAGCUAGUUGGUGAGGUAACGGCUCACCAAGGCCACGAUGCAUAGCCGACCGGAGAGGGGGAUCGGCCACACUGGGACUGAGACACGGCCCAGACUCCUACGGGAGGCAGCAGUAGGGAAUCUUCGGCAAUGGACGAAAGUCUGACCGAGCAACGCCGCGUGAGAGAAGAAGGUUUUCGGAUCGUAAAACUCUGUUGUUAGAGAAGAACAAGGACGUUAGUAACUGAACGUCGCCUGACGGUAUCUAACCAGAAAGCCACGGCUAACUACGUG
rnacentral:rRNA from 1 species